UUGUCUCCAUUGUGAGCUGGGUGGACAGAGGCUUCACAGGGUCUUCAGAAUUCAGAACUUGUUUGAACUGGCUGCCCUGAGACCUAACAUGAACCCUGACCUUGAUCGUUCCAUGUGAUCUAAUUAGAAUCCAGCUGUGGUUCAGCCCCGUGGUGAGAUCGCAACAUCCCUGGCCAGCCAACGGUGGGGACGUGAAAGAAAAAACUCAGGCAAAAUUAAUAUAAUAGAACGUUUAUGUGGGCCAAAUGUGAAGACAGCAACUUAGUAGCAGAGAUUCAAACUGCCCUGAAGAUGUGCUCCACUCAGCAGCGUUGCAAGCAUUGGAACAGUGGAAAGCAAAUCCCCGGCCCAUCUCUGUUUAUUCCAGACGGUUGCGAUUGCAGAGGGACCCUCCAAUAACGUUGGACACUGGAAGCCCAGAGGAGGAAGUAAGCAGAGCCAAGAAGGGUCCUCUGAAGAGAGUAAAACACUUAAAGCAACACCAGAAUUCUCUUGGGAUAUGUGAGGACAACAGCUGCCUGCGUGUGCUGGAGACCUUGGACGAAGUUCCCAAGUCCUAUCCACAGCUACAGGUGUCAGAAGAAAAUAUUACAACACAUCCUGUUUAGAGUUAGAGUCUAGAAUCGGGCAAUACAUCAUCCAUGAAACAAAGAGUGUUUGAUGAGUGGAGCAGAGGAAGUGGCGGACUGAGGAAAGCACAGGGUUCAUUCAUCUGCCUGGAGAGAGUUAAAUGCUGUCCUCUGAAUCUGAGAAAUGCGCAUUUAGGAUUUGCCAAAAGGAAACUAUUUAUUUGGAGACGGGUUCGCUCUGCCUCCUGGGCUGGAGUGCAGUGACGCAGUCACAGCUCACUGCAGCCUUGACCUCCCAGACUUAAGUGAUCCUCCCGCCUCAGCUUCCCUGGUAGCUGGAGCUAGAGGUGUGGACUACCAUGCCGGACUUUUUUAAAUUUUUAGUAGAAACAGUGUCUUGCUGUGUUGCCCAGGCUGAUCUCAAACUCCUGGGCUCAAGCCAUCCUUCCACCUCUGCCUCCCAAAGUGCUGGGAUUACAGGCAUGAGCCAUUUCAUCCUCAGCCUCUGCCCCUGCAUUCUCUCCAGUGCCUGAGCAGAAGGAAAUAUUUAAAGCUCUUGUUUCUAGUCCUUGUAACAACCAUCGUAAGUACUUGCUAUGGAACACAGAUUGUUACGGGGGCAGCCAACGGCUCCCUUGGUUAAGAGUAGAGAAGAUGUACCAUGGAAAAUGGGAUAACUCAUGUAUUAGUCAGCUGCUGUUCCCUAGGAAAAACCUUAGCAUCUUGGGGGCUGGCAGCAAAAAGCUGUCCCUGUCAUGCUCUGCAGGCUGCACCUGAGCUGGGGCUCAGCGGGUCUGGUGCUGGCUUGGCUUCUGUCUUCAUACUGGGGCCCAUGCUGCAGGGGCAGUGCCUGUCCGGGCCAGGUUUUUCUCACUGAGGCUCAGAGGGCACCAGGCUCUCACACGUGCAGGGUUAAGGUCAGAGUGCUUGUCACAUGCGUUAACAUUCUACGGGCCAAGCAAGACCCGUGACCAUGCCCAACAGCAGUGGGGGUCUACUCUGCAUUUUCUGAAGAGAGGUGCUGUAGCCGCGUGGCAGGGGGCGUGGCUACUUCACUUCCGGCGAGGGAGCCAGUGGUCCAUCCAUCCUGCCAUACCUUUCUAAAUCUUGGAAAAACACUGCUGUGACAUGGCACAUGAGCACCCAGGAAGCCUGUGGAUUUUGUGCGGCUGCGGUUGGCUGAACUCCUAUAAUCAAGGCUGACGUGUCUGUCUCCUUUGUUCCAUGGUGGGAUGCCUGGGAAGUUUUGGCUUCUAAGAAGGAGUCCUCCGAGUGCAGGCAGCUCCCUUUCUGGGACCUCUCUUUCUUCUCUGUACAAAUGAACAAGCCAAAGGCCACGGCUUCAGAAAGUCCGUUUUAGGCCUAUAGUUUGUGAUCCAUUGAUCACUGUGUUAUUCCCGAUGAAGAAUUUACCCCCUUCUACCUCCAUUCCCGCCUCUACCCAUUACUGGCAAUGUGGUACCAGACUCACAGCCCUAUCCUGAUGGGGCUGUGCAUGUGUGGGAGGGGGCUUAUGUGAAAACCCAGGAGGAAACUGAAGAAGGGGGUUGGGAAACAGCAGUGACCUCCCCUGUGUUGCUGAUGGAGGUGCAGGCAGAGUGAGGGGUGGGGAACGUGGCUAUCCCUUGUGAGGCAACACGUCUGGGGCAAGUGGAGGGCCCUUCAUCCUCAGCCUCUGCACCUGCAUUCUCUCCAGUGCCCCAGUCUCUGCUGGCUCACACCCCGUUUCUGUGUUCCAAGGAACAGUGCAGGGUGUGGACACUGCUGACACGCAUCCUUAGUAACCAGCCGGCCUGCAGCUUCAUGGUGCUUUGGCUUGGCUGGGAAAUCCAUGUUGGGCUGGGAAGCAUGAGCCUCGACCUCCCAACCAGCUGAGCCCACAGGCCUGUGCCUGCCGGGUGGGGCCGGGUCUCAGUGCGGAGGCAGCACUUUGCUGUAUUUCUAAUUUUUUGUAAAAGAUAAAAAGAUGAUGACAGUAUGUCAGGAGGACACAGAAGGCAGCUUAAAGGAGCUCUCACUGGCCAACUGAGAUAAUUUAAACAUUCAAAUAAACGACAGUAACAGAUUACAACUCAUUGAAUAAAAUAAGUAACCACGAGUCAUAUAGCUCUGUGGAGAAAUAGAUGCCUAACAGAUAGAUGGGCAGACAGACAUAGAUAAAGGAGAAAAGUUCUUCCUUGCAGUAAAA